UACAGAGGUCUCAAGCGUUGUUCGGAAUCACUGGGCGUAAAGGGCGCGUAGGCGGCGUAACAAGUCACUUGUGAAAUCUCCGGGCUUAACCCGGAGCGGCCAAGUGAUACUGUUGUGCUAGAGUGCGGAAGGGGCUACUGGAAUUCUCGGUGUAGCGGUGAAAUGCGUAGAUAUCGAGAGGAACACCUGCGGCGAAGGCGGGUAGCUGGGCCGACACUGACGCUGAGGCGCGAAAGCCAGGGGAGCGAACGGG
rnacentral:rRNA from 1 species